rnacentral:rRNA from 1 species
UACGGAGGGUGCAAGCGUUAUCCGGAUUCACUGGGUUUAAAGGGUGCGUAGGCGGGCAGGUAAGUCAGUGGUGAAAUCUUCGAGCUUAACUCGGAAACUGCCGUUGAUACUAUCUGUCUUGAAUAUUGUGGAGGUGAGCGGAAUAUGUCAUGUAGCGGUGAAAUGCUUAGAUAUGACAUAGAACACCAAUUGCGAAGGCAGCUCACUACACGGUCAUUGACACUGAGGCACGAAAGCGUGGGGAUCAAACAGG